rnacentral:rRNA from 1 species
AGCAUUAUACCGUGAAACUGCGAAUGGCUCAUUAAAUCAGUUAUCGUUUAUUUGAUAGUACCUUACUACUUGGAUACCUGUGGUAAUUCUAGAGCUAAUACAUGCUAAAAACCCCGACUCCGGAAGGGGUGUAUUUAUUAGAUAAAAAACCAAUGCCCUUCGGGGCUCCUUGGUGAUUCAUAAUAACUUCUCAGAUCGCAUGGCCUUGCGCCGGCGACGGUUCAUUCAAAUUUCUGCCCUAUCAACUUUCGAUGGUAAGGUAUUGGCUUACCAUGGUUUCUACGGGUAACGGGGAAUUAGGGUUCGAUUCCGGAGAGUUAGCCUGAGAAACGGCUAACACAUCCAAGGAAGGCAGCAGGCGCGCAAAUUACCCAAUCCUGAUACAGGGAGGUAGUGACAAUAAAUACUGAUACAGGGCUCUUUUGGGUCUUGUAAUUGGAAUGAGUACAAUUUAAACCUCUUAACGAGGAACAAUUGGAGGGCAAGUCUGGUGCCAGCAGCCGCGGUAAUUCCAGCUCCAAUAGCGUAUAUUAAAGUUGUUGCAGUUAAAAAGCUCGUAGUUGAACCUUUGGCCUGGCUGGCAGGUCCGCCUCACCGCGUGCACUUGUCCGGCCGGGCCUUUUCUUCUGGAGAACCGCAUGCCCUUCACUGGGUGUGUUGGGGACCAGGACUUUUACUUUGAAAAAAUUAGAGUGUUCAAAGCAGGCCUUUGCUCGAAUAUUACAGCAUGGAAUAAUAAAAUAGGACGUGCGGUUCUAUUUUGUUGGUUUCUAGGACCGCCGUAAUGAUUAAUAGGGACAGUCGGGGGCAUCAGUAUUCAAUUGUCAGAGGUGAAAUUCUUGGAUUUAUUGAAGACUAACUACUGCGAAAGCAUUUGCCAAGGAUGUUUUCAUUAAUCAGUGAACGAAAGUUAGGGGAUCGAAGACGAUCAGAUACCGUCGUAGUCUUAACCAUAAACUAUGCCGACUAGGGAUCGGGCGGUGUUAUUAUUUUGACUCGCUCGGCACCUUACGAGAAAUCAAAGU